GAUCAUGGCUCAGGACGAACGCUGGCGGCGUGCUUAACACAUGCAAGUCGAACGAUGAUGCCCAGCUUGCUGGGCGGAUUAGUGGCGAACGGGUGAGUAACACGUGGGUGAUCUGCCCUGCACUUCGGGAUAAGCCUGGGAAACUGGGUCUAAUACCGGAUAUGACCACAGGAUGCAUGUUUUGUGGUGGAAAGGUUUACUGGUGCAGGAUGAGCCCGCGGCCUAUCAGCUUGUUGGUGGGGUAAUGGCCUACCAAGGCGACGACGGGUAGCCGGCCUGAGAGGGCGACCGGCCACACUGGGACUGAGACACGGCCCAGACUCCUACGGGAGGCAGCAGUGGGGAAUAUUGCACAAUGGGCGAAAGCCUGAUGCAGCGACGCCGCGUGAGGGAUGACGGCCUUCGGGUUGUAAACCUCUUUCAGCAGGGACGAAGCGCAAGUGACUGUACCUGCAGAAGAAGCACCGGCUAACUACGUGCCAGCAGCCGCGGUAAUACGUAGGGUGCGAGCGUUGUCCGGAAUUACUGGGCGUAAAGAGUUCGUAGGCGGUUUGUCGCGUCGUGUGUGAAAUCCCGCAGCUCAACUGCGGGCUUGCAGGCGAUACGGGCAGACUUGAGUACUGCAGGGGAGACUGGAAUUCCUGGUGUAGCGGUGAAAUGCGCAGAUAUCAGGAGGAACACCGGUGGCGAAGGCGGGUCUCUGGGCAGUAACUGACGCUGAGGAACGAAAGCGUGGGUAGCGAACAGGAUUAGAUACCCUGGUAGUCCACGCCGUAAACGGUGGGCGCUAGGUGUGGGUUUCCUUCCACGGGAUCCGUGCCGUAGCUAACGCAUAAGCGCCCC
rnacentral:rRNA from 1 species